rnacentral:rRNA from 1 species
CUAUACAUGACUCUGUGCAUAUCAAUAAGCGGAGGAAAAGAAACUAACAAGGAUUCCCCUAGUAACGGACGAGUGAAGCGGGAAGAGCUCAAAUUUGAAAUCUUAAAGGGUUUCCCUUUACGAAUUGUAGUUUAAAGAAGUGUUUUCUGUUGAGGUUUUGGUAAAAGUUCUUUGGAAUAGGACAUCAUAGAGGGUGAGAGUCCCGUAUUUGACCUUUACUUUCAACUUUGUGAUACACUUUCAAAGAGUCGGAUUGUUUGGGAAUGCAGUCCAAAAUGGGUGGUAAAUUUCAUCUAAAGCUAAAUAUUGGCGAGAGACCGAUAGCGAACAAGUACCGUGAGGGAAAGAUGAAAAGAACUUUGAAAAGAGAGUUAAACAGUACGUGAAAUUGUCAAAAGGGAAGCGUUUGACACCAGUGUUGUUUUUCUGAAAAUCAAUUAAAGAACUGUUUAUGCUAAGUUGUUUAGACUUUAUCAGCUAACUGUUUAGUUUUGAGCUUUUCUUUAAUGCACUUUUCAGUUAACAAGCCAACAUCAAUUUCUUUUGCUGUAAAAAAGCUUGAGGAAGGUGGCUUGAGAUUCGUCUUAAGUGUUUAUAGCCUCUUGCCUAUGCAGUCGGAGAGAUUGAGGUCUGCAGCGUAGAUCCUUCGGGGCUAAAUGCAUUUGUGCUAAGUUAUAGCAUUUUAUAGACAACUUGUUGACUAUGAUUUGUCUUGUAGCUUACUCGCUUAUGUUAUUUUACCUACGCUUAGGAUGUUGACAGCAGUAUAGACUGU